rnacentral:lncRNA from 1 species
UGACAUAUUAAAGGUGCUCUUUUGCUUUAUAUGCUGUUGUCUGAUUCCUGAACAUUCCAUGCCUCUGGUUGUCUCAAUUCUUUACAGCAACACAUGAUGAAAGUUUUUGAGGUUUGUACAGUUCACAGUUCAGAUUCUAUUCUAAACAUGUUGUGAACAAAAGUUGCGUAGCUUGCUAAACACAUCUCAUUUUUCCUUUAAUUUUUUAUGCUAAUGUGAAUUUAUACCAGCACGUGAGGUUAAUUUUUCAGACCAGCAGCAUUGUGGUUAACAUAUCUUUAUAGUUUGAGAAAAAGAUAUAUUCACUGACGCUAUAAGAGCUUUUUAUACUGUCAUUGUCAUUAUUCAUAUUUAAUCAUCAUUGAUUCUUCAAAAGAAGUAAUACAAAUGAGUAGCGAAUGAUGUACUGUCUGUGUAUAAAACUUUACACUGACAGUGCAUAGAUAUUACACUCUUAUAGUUGCAGCUCUUAUCUUUGUGCGAUAAAUUUUUGUCUACAUGGCACCAUAUGAUACUUCAGGCCAUACUUUUCUUGUAGGAUUCCAUCUCUUAAUUGUCAUUUUUCACAUUGGAGCCUGUAGGUGGAUCGAGAGAUGGGACUGGACUAUUGGAGUAUCACAGAGAGCAAGCAAUACAGAAUCAGAGAGAUAUCUAGACAUUGGAAGCUGAAAAGAGGAUGGUUGCUUGCCC